rnacentral:lncRNA from 1 species
GACAAAUUGGGCCUGUCUUGAGAGAGUAAACAGAAAGGAGGCUGGAUUCAGGAAAUCAUGUCACAUUAGGAGUGAAAGAAGGAACUGGGAAUGGGGAGAAGAAAAGCUUUUGGGUGGUUCUGACAACCAUCCCCUUGAAAGGCUGUCUGUCCUGUGGAAGAGUGAUGAGGUUUACAGCAUUUGGCUCCAGAAGGCAGACCAGAGAGUGGGAAUUUAAAAGAAGAACUCAUCUUGGUGUGAAGGAAGGUGACCCACCUUAAGAAUUGAGAAGAUCUGGCAGUCAAAACAUCUAUGGAAGGUGAAAAGAACAGUCUGAAUCAUUUCCCCUGUGAAUCUAGUGAGGACCAUUACAAAGCAACCUUAUUGGGGCGCCUGAGUGGCUCAGUGGGUUAAAGCCUCUGCCUUCGGCUCAGGUCAUGAUCCCAGAGUCCUGGGAUUGAGCCCUGCAUUGGGCUCUUUGCUCAGUGGGGAGCCUGCUUCCUCCUCUCUCUCUCUGCCUGCCUCUCUGCCUACUUCUGGUCUGUCAAAU